GUUAGUGAAGAUUCGCCUCCUCCCCUACCUGAAAGAACUCCUGAAUCAUUUGUACUAGCAAAUGAACACAAUAUAUCUGUAAGAGCUGAGUGGAGUGAACUUCGAAAUCAGGAACAGUCUGAACAAAAAAUACCUGAAGGCUUGAUAACCUCUGGAAGUGAAACAUGUGAUCAUCCAGCACGAGGUAUUCAUACAGAGACCUGUACAGAAUGUCCACCUACUUUUAGUAAUAAGAAAGAUCAACUAUCAGAAAGUCCAACAGAAGCCACAGAGAUUGGUUUUGGUAAUCGCUGUGGAAAACCCAAAGGACCAAGAGAUCCACCUUCAGAAUGGACAUGAUUCAGGGAACUAAAAGACACUUUAAAUUAUACUGGAAAAUUCAAGUGCCACUGAAAGCCAGAUUUAUAGUAUUCCAUCUUAAAAAUGUGGGACUAACAGCAGUGUAGAUUGUUACCUUAGUGAUUUUUUUCUUUUUUUUUUUUUUUUGCUGGGACCAUCUACCUGCCUUAUAUUACACUUAGGAAAAGUAUUACAUUUGGUUUAUUUUGUAACUUCAAGUAUUAUUGCCUUAAUGUCUCUUAACCCUGUUACACGCUGCUUGUAGACAUGUUAAUAUAGUAAUACUUUUUAUGAUAAAUUGAGUUUAAGGACUACUCUUUUUUGCUAAUGUUUUAUCAUGUAUGCAUUAUU